UACGGAGGGUGCGAGCGUUGUCCGGAAUCACUUGGCGUAAAGGGCGCGUAGGUGGCGCGGCAAGUCGACGGUGAAAGCUCGACGCUCAACGUCGAGUCGGCCGUCGAUACUGCUGGGCUUGAGCACUGUAGAGGCAGAUGGAAUUCCGGGUGUAGCGGUGGAAUGCGUAGAGAUCCGGAAGAACACCGGUGGCGAAGGCGGUCUGUUGGGCAGUAGCUGACACUGAGGCGCGACAGCGUGGGGAGCAAACAGG
rnacentral:rRNA from 1 species